UCAUGUUUUUUAAAAACACUUUUUACUCGAAACUAGAAAGGUGCUAAAAAAUUCAGACGAUGCCAAAAUCAUCCAAAAAGUUCUACGCUUAUCUUCUAACUGCCACCUUUUAAUUUACUUUAUUUCCAUUUUUUACAGUUUGCCAUUGUGGAGGUUUUGUGACUUCAGUGCAGGAUGGCUUCCUAACUGGAUAAGAGAAAAUUAGUCUGUCAUGAGAUUUUGGCCCUUGUUGUCUGUACAAGUUCCUUUGCAUUUGGUCUGAUUUAUGUGACUCAGGGUGGAAUGUAUUUCCUCAACUGAUGGAUCACUUUGCAGCAUCUGUGACAGUGUUGAGCAUUGCUUUGAUAGAGCUAGUUGCAGUAUCUUGGUUCUAUGGUGCCAAUCGUCUUGCCAGGGACAUUGUGCACAUGACAGGAAAGCGACCAGGAAACUUUUUACUACAUGCUGGUGGCUUGUCACGCCUGUCUUCUUACUGGGUGUAUGGACCUUCAGUUUCUUGGACUACGAGAGUCCCUCAUACAAUAAUGCAACUUAUCGCUAUCCAUUCUGGGUGAAUACCUUGGAUGGCUUAUUGCUUUUAUUCCUUUAUCAUGCGUCCCCAUCAUAGCCAUUUACACAGUCAUCAAAAUGGAAGGUGCUUCUUGGAGAGAAGUAAGUAUUAAAGUUCAUAAUACACUACCAUAGUGGGUUCAUCGUUGAAACUUAUGACAGCACAGGAAAAUGAAAAUUGAUUAAUACAUGGUACAGAUAGGGCCUUGUGCUGUCUUGUCCUCUCAGCAUAGCGAGAAUAGUUUUAACAAUGGGCUCACGUUUUAGAUUUCUCAUUCAUUCAACAUGAACAAGUUUGCAGCUUGAACUGUAUUGUACACACCCUAAUAAGAAAAUAAUAAUACG
rnacentral:lncRNA from 1 species